UAUCGUUAUAAAUUAGUGUAUAUUUUUAUACUGAAUCGAAUGGUAGUAUUUUCAUCUACAUAGCGUGCACUGGGACUAGCUAACAGUCGUGGGUCGUGGGUAGAAUGUCGUGGGUAGAAUGUCGUGGGUCGUGGGUAAAAAGUCGUGGGUCAUGAGUAAAAAGUCGUAAGUCGUGGGUAAAAAGUCGUGGGUCGUGGGUAAAAAGGCGUGGGUCGUGGGUAAAAAGGCGUGGGUCGUGGGUAAAAAGGCGUGGGUCGUGGGUAAAAAGGCGUGGGUCGUGGGUAAAAAGGCGUGGGUCGUGAGUAAAAAGGCGUGGGUCGUGG